rnacentral:rRNA from 1 species
CCUACGGGAGGCUGCAGUAGGGAAUAUUGCUCAAUGGGGGAAACCCUGAAGCAGCAACGCCGCGUGGAGGAUGAAGGUUUUCGGAUUGUAAACUCCUUUUGUUAGAGAAGAUAAUGACGGUACCUGACUAAGAAGCCCCGGCUAACUACGUGCCAGCAGCCGCGGUAAUACGUAGGGGGCAAGCGUUAUCCGGAUUUAUUGGGUUUAAAGGGUGCGCAGGCGGAGGUGCAAGUCAGCGGUCAAAUUGCGGGGCUCAACCCCGUACUGCCGUUGAAACUGCAUCCCUUGAGUGCGCGAGAGGUAUGCGGAAUGCGUGGUGUAGCGGUGAAAUGCAUAGAUAUCACGCAGAACUCCGAUUGCGAAGGCAGCAUACCGGCGCGCAACUGACGCUCAUGCACGAAAGCGUGGGUAUCGAACAGGAUUAGAUACCCCUGUAGUC